AGUUGUCUCUCCUUCUUGGUUUGAAAGCUGUUCUUUCGCUUUGAUACAUCUUUAUCCAUUCAAAGUAUAGGCAUUCAAGGUUUGAACCUGGGGCAUUAGCAAGCCAGAUUCUUCACCUGUAAGUUUAGGAUGUCGUGAGAAAUUUCUGCUUCUUCCCACUUUCUCACCCUUUUGGGUAAUGUUAGAAGAGACUGACCAGGCCCAAGGUUUUGAUGGCUCCACCCACAAAGUAUUUGAGAGAAUCUCGCAAGUGAUUGGGCAAAGCAUCGUAAGGAGAUUUUUCCCCCAUUUUGGACGUUAUAACCGUCCAGUCUACAGAAUAUCACAGGCUCUACUUUUGUGUCAAUUUAAAAUGAGGAUACAGAAAAUGAAGGCAAAGGGAAACUGUUGACAAUCCUUUGAAGUCAUGAAUAUACAAGAGCAUGAAUAAGAGAAGAAAAGAUGGAAGAUAAAAAGCAGAAGGGUGCUGGAGAUAUAAUGGUGAAUAAUGUUGCAAUAUGCCCAGUCUUCAUGGAAUCAACAGUCCAGUGGGGAAGGCAGAUAAGUGAGCAUAUUCCUUCUACUUACAGAAAAAGUCAACUGUAAAACAGCCUCAGGCAGGUCUUUCAGGAGAUAUUCCAGAAGGCAUUGUUAUCAUACAAAAUGAUAGCUCCAUGAGUAUCAUUUUCCCUGAAGACCAGUGGGACAAGAUGAGGAGAUGGAAGACAGUGAUAUGGAUGAUCCUGAACCUGAGACUGUAUAGGCCUAGGCUAAUGCAUGUGUUUGUGUCUUCGUUUUUAACUAAAAGCUUAAAAAGUAAGAAAAAUAAAAAUAAAACAUUUGAAAAUACAAAAAUCAUAUAGAAUUAAGGACAUAAGAAUAUUUUCGAACAGCUGUACAAUGUAUGUGUGUUUUAAGCUAAAUGUUAUUGCAAAAGAGCCAAAAGUUUUUUUAAAAAGUUUA
rnacentral:lncRNA from 1 species